CUAUGCAAAACGGCUAAAUAAACAAAUCAAGCAUUUUCGUUUAUCACAUGGUCAAAGCUGUGAAAUCUCACCUCGCACUCCCCCAAGGUGUUGAAAGUGACGAUAUUUUCUCCAAGAGGUUCAUUUAGAUUCUUCUUAAGUGUCUGGUCAGCAGGCAGCGUGCUGUCAACGCAAGAUCUGACAAACUUGAAGUCACUGGUGCGUGAGCCCGUUGUCAGGUAUGCGUCAUAAUUGUAAGAACUGCGCAGAGUUCCAGCUGCAUCCACAUCUGCAUAGUUGGGAGGGAAAUACGCGCUGGGAAUGGCAACUGCUCCAUCAAACAACAUUCUGGGCUUUCUACUGCGGCAGAACUUCACGGCCAGGAUGAGAAUAAUGAAAGUCAGGAAAAAGGUGGAGACAGAGACUAGACCAAUGAUCAAAUAGGAAGUUAGUUUGGAACUAUCCUCAUAAGUCAUGUCUUUCAGUUCUGGAACCUCAGCCAAGUUAUCUGAUAUGAGUAAAUACACAUCACAGGUUGUAGAGAGAGAGGGCUGUCCGUUAUCUUUCACUGAUAUAACAAGGUUCUGCUUCAUACUGUCAGAUUCAGAAAUGUCCCGCUGUGCCCUGAUCUCUCCGCUGUGGAGACCAAUCAUGAAAAGUCCCGGAUCAGUCGAUUUCACGAUGUGAUAUGAAAGCCACGCGUUUUGUCCAGAGUCAGCAUCCACAGCUAUCACCUUGGAAACCAGGGACCCCGCCAGGGCAGCUUUGGGGACCAUCUCAGUCAUCAAGGAGUUCCCUGCUGGAGCAGGGUAUAAUAUCUGGGGGGAGUUAUCAUUCUCAUCUGUUAUGAAGACACUCACAGUCACGUUACUGCUGAGGGGAGGAGAACCAUUGUCUCUGGCUACAACGUGGACUUUGAAGCUCCUAAACUGCUCAUAAUCAAAUGCUCUCACAGCAUGGAUCACCCCCGUGUCUCCGUUAAUGGAUAAAAAUGAGGACACCGGAGCACCGUUGACCUCACUGGGCCAUAGAGAAUAGACCACAGUGCCGUUCUGUCUCCAGUCUGGGUCUCUGGCAGUAACAGAACACAUAGAGGAGCCUGGCUUGUUAUUUUCAGUCACGUAGGCGUUGUAGGAUUGUUUGUCAAACAUAGGUUGGUUGUCAUUCACAUCUGAAACAAUUAACGUAAUAGUUUGAAAUGAUGACAGCGGAGGAUGUCCUUCAUCGGUUGCAAUAAGAGUGAUGUUGUAUUCGGACUGUGUCUCACGAUCCAAUUCCACAGCAGUUAUUAGGGAAAGGUGUUUUUUGAUUGACGGGGACAAUUUGAAGUAUGUGUUCUGCUCAAUAGAACAUCUUACAUUGCCAUUGGACUCAGAAUCUCUGUCCUGUACAUAAAUGAAGGCGACCUCUGUACCGGCUGGUGAGUUUUCUGGCAAUGGUGAUUUGAAUGACUUAAUAAGUAUGACUGGGGCGUUGUCAUUAAUAUCAGCGACGUCGACAAUAACUUUACAUGAAGCAGCCUGACCUGCUCCAUCUUUAGCUUUAACUCGCAGUUCAAAUGAAGACGUAUCUUCAAAAUCUAUCAUUGAUUUUAUUUUAAUCUCUCCACUUCUUGGAUCAAUAGAGAAAGUAUUUUUUGUUUUGAUAGAAAUAUGACUAAAUUCAUAUGUAACCUGUCCAUUCGCCCCUUCAUCUGCAUCGCUGGCACUGACAGUGACCACGGCAGUACCCAAUGGAGCGUUUUCAGGCACACUCACCUUAUAAAUAGACUGCGUAAAUACAGGGACAUUAUCAUUAGCAUCUAGUAUCCGGACCUGUAUAACCACUGUGCCAGAUUUCUGUGGCUUUCCGCCAUCAUAAGCUGUCAGAAUAAGUGAUAGUUCGUCCUGUUUUUCGCGGUCUAGUUCAUGCUCUAGUACGAUCUCUGCAUAUUUACCCGUAUCAGCACUUGUGUGAACAGACAAGGUGAAAUGUUCAUUUGCCGAUAGAGUAUAACCCUGAACUGAAUUGACUCCCGUAUCUGUGUCGAGGGCCUCAUCAAUGGAAAAUCGCUCUCCUUUAUUGGCCGAUUCUCGGAUCUCUAAUUUGAUUACUUCAUUGGGAAAUGUUGGGAAAUUGUCGUUAACAUCUUGGAUUUCAAGCGUGACACGGUGCAACUCUAGAGGGUUUUCCAAAAAGAAGUCAAAAUGCAAAGCACACGACGGCCUUUGUCCGCACAGCUCCUCUCUGUCCAUCCGCUCGUUCACAAUCAAAUCUCCAGUCUUCUGGUUAAUGUCGCAGUAUCGUGUACUACCUUCGAAUUCGAUCCUUGGUCUUCUGGUGGACAGUGUUUUUACAUCGAUGCCCAAAUCCUGAGAAAAUCUCCCAACCACAGAACCUCGUUUAAUUUCUUCUGCAAUGGAAUAGCGAAUAUCCCCGACACACUGAUGGACGGUCAAUAAUAGGAAGACAAAGGUGGUCCAUCGCCCUCGCCUCAAUAUGGAACCUCUUUUAUAUUCCAUAAUAAAAUUCAGAUUAAUCAAAUGAUCCCAAACCUCUUAGUGUAGGCUAUAUAUACAAAAACUUCUGCAAAUAUGACCUCUACCUUGGUAAGGGUAUCCAACGUGAAAGGCUUUAUGCAAGAAAGCAGUCACCACACAAAAUAUAACGACGGAUUGGGGGCAGGAGUGGGU
ensembl:lncRNA